rnacentral:lncRNA from 1 species
GAAAAUGGUAUGAAUUGGCACAUAUGGAUAUGUUCAUUCAUAUGCUGAUUUCUGAUCAUAAAGGACUGUAUGAUGAGAAAACACUUUGCUAACAAAGGUCUUCAGCAAGUCCAAGAUGUUUUUUUUUUUUUUCUUUUUUUUUUUUUUUCCCAAUUCCUGCUUGUCCCUGCCUCUUGGAACAAAAGGAAAAUAUAUGCAUUUUAAUAAGCUGGAUUUUGUCUGUUUUUACAAUGCAGAGAGCUAAAACUAAGACUUCUAAAGAAAUAGCAUUGAAGCUGUUGUUUAUUGAUGGCUCCCAGCUCUCCCCUCCCUCUACAGGAGACAUUCUCCAAGUAAUUUUGGACUCAUGUUUAGCAUUCCUGUCAAGAACUACGGUUUCAUCCUUAACAUUAGAAAAGCAGAACUUGAGAAGAACUGUCAGGCACCAGAUCUGGUACUACAUUUUGAGACUAGACUUGGAGCAGUAUAUCCUCAUGAACCAUCAAUGGGAAGGAGAUGAAAAGCAAUAACCAUGGACAAAGCCUUGUGAAAAAAAUGUCCACUGCAAAACAUUCCUUUAAUCUUCUAUAUUAGAAGAAGUUCAGAAAGGCCAAACAAAUCCAGAAACAAUUCAUUGUCUCCAUAAGUGAUUUUCUAAGAAAUAUAUUUUCUAAGAAAUAUAUUGCAUAAUAACUGUAAUAAAGCUGUUGGCAUUUUGCA